rnacentral:rRNA from 1 species
AGUGAACGCUGGCGGCAGGCCUAACACAUGCAAGUCGAACGGCAGCAUAGUAAGAGUUUGCUUUUACGGGUGGCGAGUGGCGGACGGGUGAGGAGUACGUAGGAUUCCACUUUUACGUGGGUGAUAUCGUGGAGACAGUUCUACUAAUACAGCAUAUGUCCUACGGGUGAAAGCAGGGGUGCUUGGGACUUUUCGUGUUAGAUUGAGCUGAAGUCGGAUUGGCUAGUUGGGGGGGUAAAGGCACACCAAGGCGACGCUCCGUAGCUGGUCUGAGAGGAUGAUCAGCCACACUGGAACUGAGACACGGUCCAGACUCCUACGGGAGGCAGCAGUAGGGAAUCUUGGGCAAUGGGCGCAAGCCUGAUCCAGCAAUACCGCGUGAGUGAAGAAGGUCUUCGGAUUGUAAAACCCUGUUGUUAGGAAAGAAAAUCAGCGGGUUAAUACCCCGCUGUUCUGACGGUACCCAAAGAAUAAGCACCGGCUAACUUCGUG